rnacentral:rRNA from 1 species
ACACUAGUGAGAGGUUCUCCAACGAGUAUUUAGUGGCGACGGGUGAGUAACACGUUGGAACCUGCCCCGAAGUGGGGAUAACGUAGCGAAAGUUACGCUAAUACCGCAUAUUCUGUGUGCAGGAAAGCAGGGGAUCGCAAGACCUUGCGCUGAUUGAGCGGCCGAUAUCAGAUUAGCUAGUUGGUGAGGUAAAGGCUCACCAAGGCGACGAUCUGUAGCGGGGUCUGAGAGGAUGAUCCGCCACACUGGAACUGAGACACGGUCCAGACUCCUACGGGAGGCAGCAGUGGGGAAUUUUGGACAAUGGGGCAACCCUGAUCCAGCCAUGCCGCGUGAGUGAAGAAGGCCUUCGGGUUGUAAAGCUCUUUCGGCCGGGAAGAAAUCGCAUGGGUUAAUACCCUGUGCGGAUGACGGUACCGGCAUAAGAAGCACCGGCUAACUACGUG